UAACGCGUAUGCAACUUACCUAUCAGAGGGGGAUAGCCCGGCGAAAGUCGGAUUAAUACCCCAUGAAACAGGGGUCCCGCAUGGGAAUAUUUGUUAAAGAUUCAUCGCUGAUAGAUAGGCAUGCGUUCCAUUAGGCAGUUGGCGGGGUAACGGCCCACCAAACCGACGAUGGAUAGGGGUUCUGAGAGGAAGGUCCCCCACAUUGGUACUGAGACACGGACCAAACUCCUACGGGAGGCAGCAGUGAGGAAUAUUGGUCAAUGGCCGAGAGGCUGAACCAGCCAAGUCGCGUGAAGGAAGAAGGAUCUAUGGUUUGUAAACUUCUUUUAUAGGGGAAUAAAGUGGAGGACGUGUCCUUUUUUGUAUGUACCCUAUGAAUAAGCAUCGGCUAACUCCGUGCCAGCAGCCGCGGUAAUACGGAGGAUGCGAGCGUUAUCCGGAUUUAUUGGGUUUAAAGGGUGCGUAGGUGGUGAUUUAAGUCAGCGGUGAAAGUUUGUGGCUCAACCAUAAAAUUGCCGUUGAAACUGGGUUACUUGAGUGUGUUUGAGGUAGGCGGAAUGCGUGGUGUAGCGGUGAAAUGCAUAGAUAUCACGCAGAACUCCGAUUGCGAAGGCAGCUUACUAAACCAUAACUGACACUGAAGCACGAAAGCGUGGGGAUCAAACAGGAUUAGAUACCCUGGUAGUCCACGCAGUAAACGAUGAUUACUAGGAGU
rnacentral:rRNA from 1 species